AUAAGAGGAACAUUGAACAAGUCUUGUACAAUUUUAUAUGAUAAAAUUAAAAAAGUCAAAAUUGUAAAAGAUAAUUGUAUCAGAAUUAGAGGAAAAUUGAAAAGAUUAUUAAAUCAUCUGUGAUGUCAACCCUCAGUUGCACCAACUCCAAAGAACGUCUACAUUCUCCAGUAAUUAAACUAACAAUUGAACGAUCAAAGCGACAAAAUAUAUUUCAUUGAAAAUAAAGAGCAACACGGCUUUGAUGGAGAUUGUUAAAAAGAGUAGUCUAACCGCGUAUAACGUUUAAUGUAAUUUGUGGCGGAGUUUUUAGUAAGGGGUGGAAAUGCUGAUGGAGAAGGUAGGAAGGUAGAAGAAGAGAUGAAAUGACUGCGCGUCUAUGCACACGCAGGUAAAGUGUACCCCCGACAGGGCAGGAGAGGA